AGCGAACGCUGGCGGCAGGCCUAACACAUGCAAGUCGAACGAACUCUUCGGAGUUAGUGGCGGACGGGUGAGUAACACGUGGGAACGUGCCUUUAGGUUCGGAAUAACUCAGGGGAAACUUGUGCUAAUACCGAAUGUGCCCUUCGGGGGAAAGAUUUAUCGCCUUUAGAGCGGCCCGCGUCUGAUUAGCUAGUUGGUGAGGUAAAGGCUCACCAAGGCUACGAUCAGUAGCUGGUCUAAGAGGAUGACCAGCCACAUUGGGACUGAGACACGGCCCAAACUCCUACGGGAGGCAGCAGUGGGGAAUCUUGCGCAAUGGGCGAAAGCCUGACGCAGCCAUGCCGCGUGGAUGAUGAAGGUCUUAGGAUUGUAAAAUCCUUUCACCGGUGAAGAUAAUGACUGUAGCCGGAGAAGAAGCCCCGGCUAACUUCGUGCCAGCCGCCGCCGUAAUAC
rnacentral:rRNA from 1 species